CAGAUUAGGUGGAGUUUGCACCAUAUGAGGUGGGAGGUGGGUUUCCUGAAAUACAAAGCCUCUGUUCGUUCAGAGGAUUUUGGUAGUUCUUCAUGGGUUGCCUGAUGGAGAAUAUUCCAGCAUCUCGGAUCUGCUUCUUGGAAGAGUGUUAUGGAUGCUGUCUACCUCUCACGUCAUUCAGAGGACUUCUAGCACAGAUGGACUUGGGGCACUGAGCGUGACAUUGCUCUGUUCUUUGAUGACCCAGCUGCUGGACCUAUUCUCAGAGUACUGCUGA
rnacentral:lncRNA from 1 species